UAGGUGGCCUUCCCUUCAGUCUCUGCUG
rnacentral:piRNA from 1 species